rnacentral:rRNA from 1 species
GAUGAACGCUGGCGGCGUGCCUAAUACAUGCAAGUCGAGCGAACAGACGAGGAGCUUGCUCCUCUGACGUUAGCGGCGGACGGGUGAGUAACACGUGGAUAACCUACCUAUAAGACUGGGAUAACUUCGGGAAACCGGAGCUAAUACCGUAUAAUAUAUUGAACCGCAUGGUUCAAUAGUGAAAGACGGUUUUGCUGUCACUUAUAGAUGGAUCCGCGCCGCAUUAGCUAGUUGGUAAGGUAACGGCUUACCAAGGCAACGAUGCGUAGCCGACCUGAGAGGGUGAUCGGCCACACUGGAACUGAGACACGGUCCAGACUCCUACGGGAGGCAGCAGUAGGGAAUCGUCCGCAAUGGGCGAGAGCCUGACGGAGCAACGCCGCGUGAGUGAUGAAGGUCUUCGGAUCGUAAAACUCUGUUAUUAGGGAAGAACAAAUGUGUAAGUAACUAUGCACGUCUUGACGGUACCUAAUCAGAAAGCCACGGCUAACUACGUG